AGGAGGGAGCGAGAGGGAGAAAUCUGAGUGAUGCCGGUUUUGUUACAAAUGACAAUAAAUAUCUAAUUUCUUGAAACUGUAGUAUCUCAAUCAUCUCAGAAUAUAGCAAUUAUAAUCUGUGUAAAUAGUCUUUACAUUUUAUGAUUUACUAUCAGUGAUAAAUGAUCCAACUCGUAUUGUAUUGGCGUAAAGGGAACCAACAUUUAUAAUCAUAUGUUUUGAGAUGUGAAACUUGCUCCUUCAUAUGGAAACAGCUAAUUUUUUAGCUCAAUUCAUUGUUUAUUGUACCCAGAAUUGCCCCCUUUUAUCAUUCUUACAUGGUUUGGUUGACUUUUAAUGGAAACUACGUUUAAUUACAAUUUUCUUAUGUUUAGAUUUACCAUGAUACUAUUUUGAUCCUGGUUCAACGGAUUUAUUAAUCUACUACCAACCAACUUCAUCCUUUGGGGGAUUAAUCCACAUCUGUUAUUAUUAGAGCCAUGAAGGAAAGUAAAAGUGAUGCUCAUUUAUUGAUUCAUGUCGGAAUCAAAAAUGAUGAUGAUGAUGAUGUCAAAGUAUUGCGAUCUGAUGGAAAGAAUUCAUUUUUGGGAAAUCGAGAUGUACUCAAAUAUGGCUCCUUAAUAACGUUGACAGUCCAAAAUUGUACCCUUAAUUUAUUGAUGAGAGUUUCAAGAACCCAGAAAGAGCUAUUUAUUACAUCUACUGCAGUUAUUCUUGCAGAAUUUAUCAAAUUAAUUACCUGUAUCUGCAUGGUUCACUCAAAUGAAGGAUCAUCUCAAGGAGCCAUCAACAUCAUAAAUAAUCAAAUAAUCAAGCGACCUUUGGAUACUUUGAAAGUGGCCGUUCCGUCAAUUGUUUAUUACAUUCAAAAUAAUCUACUCUAUGUUGGUGCAACACAUCUCGAUGCAGCAACCUGUCAAAUAACCUAUCAAUUGAAAAUUUUGACAACAGCCCUCUUCUCGGUAGCUAUGUUAAAUAAAAGACUUUAUCCUCAUCAAUGGUUGGCUUUACUUCUUCUAUUCACUGGUGUAGCUCUUGUCCAAUUACAGCAGCAAUCAACUUCAUCAGACUCACAUCCAUCACCAUCGUCAUCAUCAUCGAACUCAGAAGUAGUAUCUUCACCACACAAAGAUAACCAUGAAAAUCAAUCUCCCUUUAUUGGGUUCAUGGCAAUUCUUACUGCUUGUGGUCUCUCUGGAUUUGCUGGUGUAUAUUUUGAAAAAAUAUUGAAAGGAUCAGCUGAAGUAUCGCUUUGGAUACGAAAUGUUCAACUAAGUGCUCUUACGAUACCAUUUGGAUUAAUUGGAAUCCUUUUCACUGAUUUAGGUCCAAUAUCGGAGAAAGGUUUCUUUUAUGGUUACAACUUUCUCGUCUGGACUGUUAUUAUUUUACAAGCUCUUGGUGGAUUAAUUUGUGCCGUUGUCGUUAAAUAUGCAGACAACAUUCUCAAAGGUUUUGCUACUUCUUUGGCAAUUGUUCUAUCCUGUAUUGUUUCUAUUUAUUUCCUAAAUUUUCAUCCUACCAUGCAAUUCGUUUUGGGUGCUCUAAUUGUUAUGGCUUCAGUAUUCCUCUACGGACGCCAAGUUCCAACAAAAAAUCUCAGUAAACCAAGUUAAAGUGCUAUUUCACUAACCUUUUGCCUUUUCGCUGACUUUAUAACCAAAUUUCCUAUUGCAUUAUAAAAUAUUAUUUUUAAUCUUUCUCUACUAAAUCGAAAAGGUAUAAAAAUCAUAAUCAUCUUUUGUAAAGUUAUUGAAAUAUCGGUGAAGCAACAAGAGUCAUACCUGUUAA